UAAAGAUUCAAUCUUUAUGCCCUAUUUCAUAUAAAGAUCGAAUCUUUCAACAAGUAGAAGUGAGAUUCGAGUGUUUUGAGACUUGUUAUUGAUUUUACUAUCCACAAACACAUCAUUUGCUUUAUAAUUUUUUUUUUAGUUUUUUAAUGAUAUGGGGGUCCUAUUAUGUUUGUGAGUCUAAUUCCCUCAAAUCAGGUGUGUGUGUGUUUUAAUUUAACAAUUCGAGUGCAUUGCAUUGAACUUACAAAUUGAGGUUUGUGUGGAUCCUAAUAGAGGUUAAUGAAAGAUCCUCUAGUUCUCGAGCUAACAACAAAGCCUAUUCAAUAUAAAGAUUCAAUCUUUAUGCCCUAUUUCAUAUAAAGAUCGAAUCUUUCAACAAGUAGAAGUGAGAUUCGAGUGUUUUAGACUUGUUAUUGAUUUUACUAUCCACAAACACAUCAUUUGCUUUAUAAUUUUUUUUUUGUUUUUUAAUGAUAUGGGGGUCCUAUUAUGUUUGUGAGUCUAAUUCCCUCAAAUCAGGUGUGUGUGUGUGUGUUUUAAUUUAACAAUUCGAGUGCAUUGCAUUGAACUUACAAAUUGAGGUUUGUGUGGAUCCUAAUAGAGGUUAAUGAAAGAUCCUCAGUUCUCGAG